rnacentral:rRNA from 1 species
UUUCAUUUUCAAAUAAUAUUAAUAAUAACAGUUACCAAUAUAACUGAGCUAAGCAGGGUUGAGCCUGUUCAGUACCUGGAUGGGAGACCUCCAGAGAAAACUAGGUUGCUGUUGGAA